AUAAUACAGAACCUAUAGAUACAGUAUAUUUUAUAAUACAGAACCUGUGGAUAUAGAACAUUAUAUAAUACAGAAUCUGUGGAUACAGUAUAUUGUAUAAUAAUGUGUAGCGUGGCCAGAUUCUCUGAGACUGACUCUGCUAGCGGCUGGUAGCCGAUUGGUUGUGAAACAGAAUGACCGGAGCAGGAAACAUAUCUAGACAGAAAGGG